UUUCCGUAGGUGAACCUGCGGAAGGAUCAUUAACGCAUCUCUGACGGCGGAGGCGCGCCCUGCUCCUGACCGAAAGGCCGUGCAGCGGGCGCUCCCGAGUCGCCCAACCAUCGCAAACCCACCGGGCACUCUUGUCGGCGAGGCGCCUAGCGCCCCCAGCCGGAUCGCAAACACCUCUUUUAAAACAUAAUGAUCAACGGACCUGCGUGCCGCCUAAACUUAAACAACUUUCAACAACGGAUCUCUUGGCUCUC
rnacentral:misc_RNA from 1 species